GUGUCAGCAGCCGCGGUAAUACGAAGGGUGCAAGCGUUGCUCGGAAUUAUUGGGCGUAAAGGGUAGGUAGGUGGUAAUAAAAGUCUGGGGUGAAAUCCCUGAGCUCAACUCAGGACGUGCCUUGGAAACUUUAUUACUAGAGUGCUGGAGAGGUCCGCAGAAUUCCCGGUGUAGCGGUGAAAUGCGUAGAGAUCGGGAGGAAUACCAGAGGCGAAGGCGGCGGACUGGACAGUCACUGACACUCAACUACGAAAGCGUGGGUAGCAAACAGGAUUAGAUACCCUGGUAGUCC
rnacentral:rRNA from 1 species